GUAUACGUUAAGUGGAAAAGGAUGUGGAGUUGCUUAGACAACCAGGAUGUUGGCUUAGAAGCAGCCACCAUUUAAAG
rnacentral:rRNA from 1 species